rnacentral:rRNA from 1 species
UGGGGAAUUUUGGACAAUGGGCGAAAGCCUGAUCCAGCAAUGCCGCGUGUGUGAAGAAGGCCUUCGGGUUGUAAAGCACUUUUGUCCGGAAAGAAAUCCUUGGCUCUAAUACAGUCGGGGGAUGACGGUACCGGAAGAAUAAGCACCGGCUAACUACGUGCCAGCAGCCGCGGUAAUACGUAGGGUGCAAGCGUUAAUCGGAAUUACUGGGCGUAAAGCGUGCGCAGGCGGUUUGCUAAGACCGAUGUGAAAUCCCCGGGCUCAACCUGGGAACUGCAUUGGUGACUGGCAGGCUAGAGUAUGGCAGAGGGGGGUAGAAUUCCACGUGUAGCAGUGAAAUGCGUAGAGAUGUGGAGGAAUACCGAUGGCGAAGGCAGCACCCUGGGCCAAUACUGACGCUCAUGCACGAAAGCGUGGGGAGCAAAACAGGAUUAGAUACCCUGGUAGUCCACGCCCUAAACGAUGUCAACUAGUUGUUGGGGAUUCAUUUCCUUAGUAACGUAGCUAACGCGUGAAGUUGACCGCCUGGGGAGUACGGUCGCAAGAUUAAAACUCAAAUGAAUUGACGGGGUCAUA